UCGGUAUCAGUUUUGGCACCCAAGAUGGGACUCUGCUUCUGAACCUCGACAGAUGCUGGGAUCACAGGAACCUCAGCCAGCACUGGGAUUUCUCGGGAGGGACCUUGAUCCCCGGACUGAAGAGCUUGAAGCAAGAACUACACUUUAUGUCCUGGACAGACGUGCUCCUUGAAAACUGCAGGAAGAAGGUGGUACUGAACAAAGAAGAAACAAAUUCAAGAAUUAUUUCCUGAGCAAUGUGAACUGCAACUCUGUACUGCAUGGAGAUAUGUAAGUACUGUUUUGCAUCACUAAACACUGUUAAUCUUUGCUAGCAACCUCCUGUUUGCUGGUUUUAUAGAAAGAGAAGUCUGUAGGUGUAAGUGCCUCAAUGCAUAGCCCCUCCAACUAACCUGCAGGAAGAGCACCAUGAUUUCUCUCAGCUUUGGACUGCCCGAAGGAUGGAAACACCCACCCAGCCUCGCUGUGCGAGCCUGAGCCACAGCCCCACUGUGAGCGCAGGAUGAAACCACAGCCUGACAUGCUGGUGCAUGCAUGUCUUCUGGUCCUCUUCAAGCCGAUAGCCAAAAUUACAGGUACAGACCGGGCCGGAGCUGGUGUGGUGGCACGUAUGGGAACAGCCACCGUUGUUGGCUUCACAGCUAUU